AUGCCACCAGCACUACAAAGGCAUUGAUGUAGUUUGGCUUUCUUUCUAUGCAGCCAAAAUCCAUAAUUAAAUCAAGCAACUGGCUGUAUUGCUUGAUUUAUAAAGAACAUGCAUGACUGGACUGCAAACUUUUCUUUGUGCAAAAGCAGGAAAUAAAUAAAUACCAAUUUGUAUGUUUUGUGUUGCCAGCGAUGAAAUCUACAUUGCUCCUUCAGGAGUGCAAAAGGAACGAAUUCAGCCUGAAGACAUGUUUGUGUGUGAUAUAAAUGAAAAGGACAUAAGUGGACCUUCGCCAUCUAAGAAGCUAAAAAAAAGCCAGUGUACUCCUCUUUUCAUGAAUGCUUACACAAUGAGAGGAGCAGGUGCAGUGAUUCAUACCCACUCUAAAGCUGCUGUGAUGGCCACCCUUCUCUUUCCAGGACGGGAGUUUAAAAUUACACAUCAAGAGAUGAUAAAAGGAAUAAAGAAAUGUACUUCUGGAGGGUAUUAUAGAUAUGAUGAUAUGUUAGUGGUACCCAUUAUUGAGAAUACACCUGAGGAGAAAGACCUCAAAGAUAGAAUGGCUCAUGCAAUGAAUGAAUACCCAGACUCCUGUGCAGUACUGGUCAGACGUCACGGAGUAUAUGUGUGGGGGGAAACGUGGGAGAAGGCCAAAACCAUGUGUGAGUGUUAUGACUAUUUAUUUGAUAUUGCCGUAUCAAUGAAGAAAGUAGGACUUGAUCCUUCACAGCUCCCAGUUGGAGAAAAUGGAAUCGUUUAAGCCAAAAGAAAGUCUAAUUAUAUACGGAGAUAAAGCUAAACGUCCCUCCCACAACACGGAAUUAUGGGAGCUACAAGAUGAGAUUUGCGUGGGGACACAGAGCCAAACCAUAUCAUCCAGCAUCCAGGAAGAAUCAGGUCACUCAGACUUGAAGGAUGGGGUCAGUAAAACUCUGUGGAAACAAAAAGAUGUAGCAGAAAAACCACUAGAUGGGUGUCAGGUAACUUUGACUCUAACCCCAGCAAGGCCACUCGCAUUUUCUCUGUGAUUUUGUGUCUCAAGUAUUUUAACCAUCUCUUGAAAUGUUCUUGGGCCUCAGCCUAGGCACUAUGCCUAUAGAACCUAAUGGAUAAAGCAACCCUGCUUGUUUAAAAGCCUAGAGGCAAGUGCAAUCAAGUUUAAUGCCGAAUAUGGCAAACUUAUUUUCCCUGUUGAAGCCAAGUAUCUGUGUGGAGGAUUAGUUGGAUGCAUGCUUCCAAAAGAAACCAGCUGUUCUUGUAAGUAAAGGCCUGCUGAAAGAAGAAACCAACCUAUUUAGGUUGGAGAAUAUGGGGCACAGAUUGCCUUUUCCCAUCACCUGCCAGGAACACCAUGCGCUUAUUUCAUCUCAAUGCAAGAUACAAGAUCUGGGAUCCAAAACACCAUUUUCUAUCACAAAGCCAGUUCUCACACCUUUUUCAGAUCAAAUGUUCCAGCCUCUUUAGAAAAGCUUAGAAAAUAGUCUUUCUUUCACUCCCCACGAGUCUUUAUUGUGACAUAUGUUGCAUAUCAUAACCCUUGGUACUGGAUGAAAGCUCCCAAUCUGAAUGAAGAACAGGUAAAGGUAAACAAAAAACUGAGGCUAAAAGAAUCACUUAACCUGAACCAGAUGGUAGGAAAAGCAUGCUAGAAUGGAAUAUCCAACCGGCUAUGGACAUUGUUUUUGGCAGACAAAUGAAUGGCCCCAUUAUAAAGGCAUCAGGUUUGGUGUAUUGUCCAGCUCUAGGGGGCAACAUUGAAUUGUAUUCUGUGGUUAUGGUGCUCCCUGGAGUUCUGUAAACACAUAGGUCUGAGACUGAUCAUCACAUGCCUAUCAUAUCCAGGGAAAUAAGGAGCAAAAUGGCCCAGAAGAAGAGAAAGAACAUUCUACCAAGUCACAUGUAACCUACCAACAGUCCACAACUGCAAUUGAUUUCAUGCCCAACUCUUGCUACACCUAAGAUUUGCAUAACUUAGUACUGGGGAGGUUUUGGGGGAAACCAGAAUUCCACCUCUGAAGCCAAGUCAAAUCUUCAGUGACUGGAGACUGGGAAAGCUGCCUUUUUCAAAUUUAGUUUCUCUUUCCCAAUAGCACUUAAAGGACAAACGUGUUCUGUUCUGCAUCUUUGGAACUCACUAUUCAUGGUUAAGUCAUUGCCUUUGAGACUUUAUAAGGGUUAUUGGCAGUUUAGCUUUACAGUAAAUGUAGUGUAAUUUACACAAUAAAAUGCAGUCACUUGUUUAAUUACUUACCUCACCUAUUGGGACUUUUUCUCAUCUCUCAGGUCACAGUUUUUACUUAGGGCCAUAACAAUGGGGUUGACAUUGGUAUGAAACACUUUUGAACCCCCCAGAAUGAAGACUUCUUAACUGCACCUGAAGAGUGACUCGCCAAAAACAAUGAAAGGUGUUUCACAAUCUGAGUGGGUGAACUUCAUCUAACUGAUAUGUAAAUAAAGGAGUGGCGGGUUAAGAGCUCAAUACGCAGAAGCGGCCUCUCAAGAAAGCUUGGCUACUAGAAAUGAGGGGCAACUUCACUCAAAUCCUGUGACACUGUGUGGAAUUUAGGCAUAGCAAGAUGCUUGGGCCUGGACCAAUGGAAUGACAAAAGGCUCCUUUCUCUCUCUGCAGUUCACCCAUGUCCAAAGAGAGAGAACACCAGGAGGUGGGACGUCGGAAUUGAUUCUGAAUCUUCUCGUGUAAUUCAAGGCAUGUGUGUAUGUGUGUGCCUGUGUGUGUGUGUUUUCUGUUUAAAACCACCAGAGAAAUGCAGAUAGUCCCUGAGAAGAAAAGAUUAAUAUUGCACCUUGGUCUUGCCCUUCUGGCUCACAUGUGGGGGAAAGCCCAGUAGACCAGCAUGGCCCAAGGGAACAGAGCCACCCCAGAUCCAACCACACAAAGAAAACAGAGACCUUGAAAGAGGAAAAAUAAUAUUUGUAGCUAUUAAUGAUAUUACAAUCACAAUAAUAAUCCUAAUGUCAGUAGCUAGCACUUGCCCACACUUACUUAAACAUAGAAACUCAUUCUGGCAAAUUCUGCCCACUUUCCAAGGCUUUCUGGGAGUCCCAGGUGAUGUUUUAUAGGCAUUUGCACACAGCCCUGUUGUUUUCCACUCCAGCCUCUGUGUUGAAAUCUGAUACCUAAGAGUCCCUCUAUGCCCUUCUUAAUAAUUCUGGUAUCAGCCAGAGCUGUGUCUCUUAGUAGUCUCAAAGCCAGUAACUCAAAAGGAGCCAAAUUGGUAUUUAUCUUCCUACCUGGGCAUCAAAGUAUCCCAGAUCUCAUGGGGUCUGCUGUGAAAACAGCUGCUUCUGCUGCUUCUGCAUCUCUUUCUCUCUGGGAGGGUUUAGACAGGAGUCAAGGAGCCAGACUCAUCCAUUUGGGAAUUGAUAUCUGCGACAGACGUCUCUUUUCUUUUCACCUCAUCCCUUUCCUUACCGUUUACUCUCCCUCCAUCCGUUCUGUUUCACUGCAUCAGGUAAACCCCAAUAAUCUACACUUUAAUGAGCCCCCUUCCUGGGGGGAGCACAGAUACCACCUCUGAGAAGCAACAAUGGAUUCGUUAAAAGGCUGUAUGGCCUGGUGGCUGAGGCUGUGAAGUCAGACCUGGAUCUGAAUAUAGGCUCUAUUCCUUCAUACUAUCUCCUUGAGCAAGUGACAUAACCUCUUUGUGGCCUGGUCUCCUUGAUUACCAAAUGAAGACAGUAACAGACUUAGCUCAUAGGGUUGUGGUUAGAAUUCUACAAGAUCAUUAAUUGAUUACUUCCUUGUAUAAAUACCUUAUUGAGGAUCUGUAAUGUUCCGAGUACUAUUCUAGGUGUUAGGGAUACAACAUAGAACAAAAUAUACAAAAUAUCUGUCUUCAUGGAGAUUAAGUUUCAGUUGGGGAGAUAGACAAUAAGCAGGAAUAUAAUAGAAUAAAAUGUUCGGCAGUGAUACAGUCUAUAAAGCAUAAAUCUGAUUAGGGAUGGAGAGGGAUGGCAGGGAAAGUAUUUGAGAAAAGAUAGUAAGAUAGUUAGGGAAGCCCUCUUUGACGAGGUGGCAUAUGAGCAAAGAUCUGGAUGAAAAAUAAUUCAGCACUUUGGGAGGCGGAGGCGGGUGGAUCACGAGGUCAGGAGUUCAAGACCAGCCUGACCAACAUGGUGAAACCCCGUCUCUACUAAAAAUACAAAAAUUAGCCAGGCGUGGUGGUGUGCGCCUGUAAUCCCAGCUACUCAGGAGGCUGAGGCAGGAGAAUCGCUUGAACCCAGAAGUCGGAGGUUGCAGUGAGCCGAGAUCAUGCCAUUGCACUCCAGCCUGGGUGACACAGCGAGACUCCAUCUCAAAAAAAAAAAAAAAAGGAAAAAGAAAAAUACUUAGCAUAUUUCAGGCAUAGAAUGUUUAAUAAACGGGACAAUAUUACUUUCCAGAUUCUCAUCUUCAAGAUGCUCACAGACUAUGUACCUGGAAAUGUGGCAGUUGCUUGACUUUAUUUUAAAAAAUACAUCCCUAGGUCAGGCAUGGUGGCUCAUGCUUGUAAUUCCAACAAUUUGGGAGGAUCAAUUGAGGCCAGGAGUUUGAGAUCAGCCUGUCUCAAAAAAAAAAAAAAA